rnacentral:rRNA from 1 species
UGACUCCUUGAGUGUCCUGAAGGAACGUUGAAGACGACGACGUUGAUAGGCCGGGUGUGUAAGCGCAGCGAUGCGUUGAGCUAACCGGUACUAAUGAACCGUGAGGCUUAACCUUACAACGCCGAAGCUGUU